rnacentral:rRNA from 1 species
CCUACGGGAGGCUGCAGUGGGGAAUUUUGCGCAAUGCUCGUAAGAGUGACGCAGCGACGCCGCGUGAAUGACGAAGGCCUUCGGGUCGUAAAGUUCUUUCGACAGGGAAGAAAAUGCCUAUAAGUAACUGUGUAUGUAUUGACGGUACCUGUAUAAGCAGCCCCGGCUAACUCCGUGCCAGCAGCCGCGGUAAUACGGAGGGGGCGAGCGUUGUUCGGAGGGACUGGGCGUAAAGAGCACGUGGGCGGUGUUGUAAGUCAUUAGUCAAAGACUAGAGCUCAACUUUAGUAAGGCUAGUGAUACUAUAAUACUAGAGUACCAGAGAGGAUUGCAGAAUUCCUGGUGUAGCGGUGAAAUGCGUAGAUAUCAGGAGGAAUACCGUUAGCGAAGGCGGCAAUCUGGCUGGAAACUGACGCUGAGGUGCGAAAGCGUGGGUAGCAAACAGGAUUAGAUACCCUAGUAGUC